rnacentral:tRNA from 1 species
AAAAAGGUAAGCUAAAAAAGCUAAUGGGUUCAUACCCCAUCUAUAGAAUAAUCUUCUCCUUUUUA